UACGUAGGGUGCGAGCGUUGUCCGGAAUUAUUGGGCGUAAAGAGCUUGUAGGCGGUUUGUCGCGUCUGCUGUGAAAUUCCAGGGCUUAACCCUGGGCUUGCAGUGGGUACGGGCAAACUAGAGUAUUGCAGGGGGAGACUGGAAUUCCUGGUGUAGCGGUGAAAUGCGCAGAUAUCAGGAGGAACACCGGUGGCGAAGGCGGGUCUCUGGGCCGAUACUGACGCUGAGGAGCGAAAGCAUGGGUAGCGAACAGG
rnacentral:rRNA from 1 species